CACUGUGGCUUGUUGGCAAGGAGUG
rnacentral:piRNA from 1 species